rnacentral:pre_miRNA from 1 species
GGCUGACCAAGGUGCGGGGCUAGGGCUAACACUUUUCUUGCAGACGGUUUCCUGGAGACCACACCCAUGCCGUUGCCACUAGCCUCAACCUUACUCGGU